UACGUAGGGGGCAAGCGUUGUCCGGAUUUACUGGGCGUAAAGAGCGUGUAGGCGGCCACGCAGGUCCGUUGUGAAAACUGGAGGCUCACCUCCAGCUGUCGACGGAAACCGUAUGGCUAGAGUCCGGAAGAGGAGAGUGGAAUUCCUGGUGUAGCGGUGAAAUGCGCAGAUAAUCAGGAAGAACACCAAUGGCGAAGGCAGCUCUCUGGGACGGUACUGACGCUGAGACGCGAAAGCGUGGGGAGCGAACAGG
rnacentral:rRNA from 1 species